rnacentral:tRNA from 1 species
GCGAGAUUAGUUCAGUGGCAGAAUUCGUGCUUCCCAAGCAUGUGGCGCGGGUUCGAUUCCCGCAUCUCGCACCA